AGAAGUUUUUUGGAUGAUUCUCAAUGGUUGCCUCUUCCCCUUAACUUAUGCAUCGAGUGUCUUAUCUGUGCACUGUUCGUUGAGAUCUUUGUGUCCAUUUAAAACAUCUUUUACAUGUGGGAUAUGGGAUACAGUAGUGAACAAAAUGUACAUUGAUUCCUACCCUGGUAAUUAGUCUGAUGGACACAGAAUUACAAGUAGAGAAUUGCAAAUCAUAAUCAUUGCUAAAAUAAAAAGGUUUUGACAAAAGGUAUAGGUAUCUUGAUUGAAAAUCAAGUUUCUCUCAGAUGGUAGCGAUAACAUUUUUAUCCAGAGUCCAGAAUUCAUAGGCCUAUUAAAAGGCAUUUUGUUAAAGAGUUUGGGCUUUUUCCUUCAUCCUCUAGGUUGAAAGGUUUGAAGGAGAAAUAGAGGAUUGUACUUGGCAUUUUCCUAAUGAUAAACUACACCAGAGAUUAGGCAAUGGGUGGAUUCUGGUGAGAGAGAUACACAUUUUAAAAACUGGACCAGACUUUAAAAACUUGCCCCUUCACUUAAUAGUUUGCGCCCCAGAUACAGUAUCUCAUUAAAUAAUAUCCUUGAUCAUUUUCACACAUACCCAGGUAGUAUUAGAAUUCAUUUCUUUUCACUGGUUGUGCAUUCCUUAAGUAGCUUUCUGUGAGCCAUGUAAUCUGAUACUAUUAUCCUUUAACUUAGAAAACCUAGAUUUGUAUCCUGCCUCUUCCAGUUAGCCUAGAAGACUAAUUCGGAAUCCACCUGCAUUAACUGCGAUGUAUCGUUUAGACCUUAAUCCACCUGUCUUCAGUAAAGAUAGUAACUUUUGCAUGUAGUUUAGUAAUCAAGGAGAAAAGAUAGGAAUAAAGGUAAAGAAGAAGUGUUCAUAAAUUUCUAGGUUUCUCUAUGCAUUAACUCAUCUUUUCUUC